UACGUAGGGUGCAAGCGUUGUCCGGAAUUAUUGGGCGUAAAGAGCUCGUAGGCGGCUUGUCACGUCGGGUGUGAAAGCCCGGGGCUUAACCCCGGGACUGCAUUCGAUACGGGCUAGCUAGAGUGUGGUAGGGGAGAUCGGAAUUCCUGGUGUAGCGGUGAAAUGCGCAGAUAUCAGGAGGAACACCGGUGGCGAAGGCGGAUCUCUGGGCCAUUACUGACGCUGAGGAGCGAAAGCGUGGGGAGCGAACAGG
rnacentral:rRNA from 1 species